GACGAACGCUGGCGGCGUGCCUAAUACAUGCAAGUCGAGCGGACUGAAUGGGAGCUUGCUCUUGUUCGGUCAGCGGCGGACGGGUGAGUAACACGUGGGCAACCUGCCCGCAAGACCGGGAUAACUCCGGGAAACCGGAGCUAAUACCGGAUAACACCGAAGACCGCAUGGUCUUUGGUUGAAAGGCGGCGCAAGCUGCCACUUGCGGAUGGGCCCGCGGCGCAUUAGCUAGUUGGUGAGGUAACGGCUCACCAAGGCGACGAUGCGUAGCCGGCCUGAGAGGGUGACCGGCCACACUGGGACUGAGACACGGCCCAGACUCCUACGGGAGGCAGCAGUAGGGAAUCUUCCGCAAUGGGCGAAAGCCUGACGGAGCGACGCCGCGUGAGCGAAGAAGGCCUUCGGGUCGUAAAGCUCUGUUGUGAGGGACGAAGGAGCGCCGUUUGAAGAAGGCGGCGCGGUGACGGUACCUCACGAGGAAGCCCCGACUAACUACGUG
rnacentral:rRNA from 1 species